rnacentral:lncRNA from 1 species
UUUUUUUUUUUUUUUUUUUGUUCCUGAGGUGAAAGCAGAGCUAACUUAGGUAUGUAUUUGCAUCAGAAAGACUCCCCAGCAGCAUCUAUACUAGUCAGUGAUCAUUUUUUCAUUAUUUUAGGUACCUACUUGUUCGCAAUUUUUCUUUUUAAGCCCCCUGCUCUCCUCUCCACAAAGCACAAACAGUCACUGUCACACAGAGACACAGACACAACUCAAAUGAUGACGGUAAUUGACAUUGCCAUUUUCAUAGAAUAUUACUAGGUGAAGCCUAUAUUCAUUCACACUACCUGUGUUUUAUGCUUAUUGAAAUCCCAUCAAUUCGUGAAAAUCUACUCAUCUCCAUUAGUGCUUCCAUUUAUCUAUGUGUUUAUGCCAGAAAUGUGAGAGCAAUUACUGGCACCUCCUCUGUCCCACAGAACCCCGAGCCCAAUCAAUUCAUCAUUAGAUCUUCUGGAAUCACCCUAUAAAAUAUAUCUUAAAUCUGUCCUCUUUUCCUAACUUGUUGCUGCCAUUCUAGUCCAAGCUCUUUUUCUUGCUUGCAUAUCUGACUUCCCCUGCUCCUGUGUAAUUUCACCUCCAGAAGAACCAGAAUGAUUUCUUGAAAUUUAAUCUUGCCAUUCUGCUGAUUAAAUGGCCCUUGCCCAGCCCACACUGGCCAUGGCUUUUGAGGGGCACUUAGGAUAGACUCUGAAAUCUUUACAAGACACACGGGAAGUUGUAUGUUGUGCCCACUGCUUGCCCUGCCACAUCCUUUCACUCUACUCUUCUCUGGCUCUCUGGUUAUGUCCGCUCUGUACUCUUUGUUAGUUCUCAGACCAAAAAAACACAUUUUUUUUUCACGUCUCAGCACCUGAAAAGUUCUUGCCUCCCUCUCUUCACCUAGUUCCUACUAAUCCUUUAGGACACUUCCUCAAUGAUCUAAUUCCCAAGCUAAAUCUCAACUCCCUAGUAUAUUCUCUCCUACUCCCCUGUAUCUUCCUGUAGAACAACCACCACAACUUCAAAUUAUUUAGAUGCUUAGAUUCGUAUCUUCUUGUUCACUGUAUAUUCCAGACCUGACACAGUGCCCAGCAUAUGGUAAAUGCUCAAUAAAUAUUUGUCAAAUAAAUUAUGUUAAUUGUAUGCACAGCCUCAGACCGUUAACUGCACUGUUAGGGAAAAUCAUAAAAACUAGUGAAUCAUAUAUCACUUUCUCGCAAAGCAUUUUGCAUACACCUUGGUUUUCAAAUGAAUGACUAGCAACCCACCCUCAUGACCAUUAUCAUGAAGCACCCCCUCCUGGAACUGGCCCACCUGCUUGGCUCUUCCAGCUGGCCACCUUUUGAAUAAGCAGUGGCAGAGCCCAUUUUUGUAGGGUGAUUUGUAGGAUGCCUGGAAAUAUGACCAGUUUCACUUCCACUAGCAAUACCACGAGGUCCUCAAUUUUUAGCUUAUCGCAUUAGAAAGUCCCUACAGCAAAAUUGUUGUUUGGAGAAAUAAUAUGUUAGCCAUUAUUGGUGAUUAUUGUCAUGCCUCAAGACAGAAUGGCCAGGUAGUCAGAGAUCAGGAUGUUCAAGAGGAAGAGACAUAAUAUAGGUACAUUUUGAUUGAGGAAGAACUCUAAAUGCCAAAAAACAUUAAGGCAUUCUCUUGAGGUGGGUCUAAUGAGGAAUUUGGGCAUCAUUAUUUCACAGAGAAACGUAGGGGUGGGUUGCUAGGUGUCUAUCAAGGAAGCUGGAUCAUCCGAGGCAUGUUGAAAACAGUGCAGAUGGACAUUUACGGGAACAAGAGUUUAGAAGACGCAUUAAGAAAUUAUACUUCUCUUUUUAGCUUGGCUUUGCCUGUCAAACUUCAUCCUCACACGGAAUGUUAAGCAUUUGUUUUUCUUGAGGAAAACAGACAGCCUUGAUCAUAAAGAUACAAAGGCAGUAAGACUGCCUGAGCUGGAUGGUGAGCUCAAACUUUCACAUCUCUCUGCUUUCAUCACUGUGCCUGAACUCGGUGCUCCUGAACUGGCCCUCAUCCCCUGGUUCCAGACCUGAGAUGACCUCAUUUGACCUGGGCAGGGACCUAAGUUUCAGCUUCCCCAGCCUGCUUUGCUGACUCUAACUUUGGAUCGAAUACUUUUCUGUAGGGGCUUGCUUCCGGCAUUCCUCCACCAGGACUCUAUGUAGACUUCUCAGAGUCUCUCGGUAUAAUGAGUCUGAUCUCUUUCUUAUCACCUUGCUUUUGUAGUUUAUCAAAUGCUUUCAAGACUAUUUUCUCAUCUGAUCAUUAUAGCAAUCUUGUGAAAUAGAAAUACAUUUUAUAAAUGAGGAAACUGGUUCCCUUUUCAGAUGAGGUUGACUUGUUCUUUUCUCUUUUCCUGGACUUAAUUAUUGCUAAUAGAAUACUAACUGACUCUGAUGAGGCAGGUAAUAGCCCCUUGGGCCAGCUGCCAAUGUAAAAUGACUCAAAUGGAAACUAACUAAAACAAGGAUGGAAUGUUCUAGAAUACCUGAAAACCACAAAUCCAUAAUCUUCAAAGCCACAGAAAGCUGGCCUAUGUUGAGAUGGAUUUAGCAGGGUAUCAUGACCACCGUGGAAUAAAAGAUGGCAAUAGUGGCCACUCAAGUGAUAUUGAGGACUUCUCUAGAGCAUUCAAAAAGACUAGGGAUGUUUCUUGAGUUGGCAUUCUGGUCAAAGAGAGUCUGGAUUCAGUGAGCCAUCAUCUAAAGCUGAAAUUAGCUUCUGUUAUUUACCAGGAUUUUAAAUUCAGUUCAGCAAGUGACUCCAGGCUGUUUUGGCAAACAUUACAAACUUGCCACUCUUUUCUCCAUUUGGCACAGGGCAGAAAGCAUAUGCAAAGGCUGCCAACAUUCCUCUAUGUGCUGGUUUUAACAUAAAUGGGGAUUGGAGCAAUGAUACAGAAAAAAGCCAAUCAUAUAAACCCAGAGCAAAAA